rnacentral:lncRNA from 1 species
AUAUAUAUAUAUCUUCUUUUCAGUACAUGUACUUGUAACGAUAUCCAAUCUUGCGACACGACGAGAUGCGCUUCUAUCCCUGACGAGGCCCUCGUGCCAAAUUGAGGAUAGGGUCGCAUCUUGGGCGUGACAGCUAGACAUGAGCAGGCGAUCAUGUGUCAUUCAUGCUUUCUAUUAACAUGUCCUUUGUCAUACAUACAUCACGGUCUCGGAUGUCUUUAAACCCACAAGGGGAAUAGGACUUGCAGGGUAAAAUGACGUCAAAUUGCUUUAUGAUUCAUACAAGACACAUGUCCACUUUUUGUAACAUGGUGUGAAAGAGACCCAGUCUCAUAAUUUUCAUUUACACAUCUCACUUGCUUAUCUAAUAC